UUGGAAUGAUAGGGAAUGUAAAACCCUUCCAGAGUAACAAUUGGAGGGCAAGUCUGGUGCCAGCAGCCGCGGUAAUUCCAGCUCCAAUAGUGUAUAUUAGAGUUGUUGCAGUUAAAAAGCUCGUAGUUGGAUUUCUGUCGUGGUCAGCCUGCGCUGCCUGUAUGGGUGUGCGCGUGGUUUGCCCGCGGCUUUUUUCCGGUUGCCUCCAGCGCUUAACUGCGUUGGUAGGUUUUCUGGAACUUUUACUUUGAGAAAAAUAGAGUGUUUCAAGCAGGCUUGUCGCCCUGAAUACUGCAGCAUGGAAUAAUAAGAUAGGACCUCGGUUCUAUUUUGUUGGUUUCUAGGA
rnacentral:rRNA from 1 species